UACGGAGGGGGCUAGCGUUGUUCGGAAUUACUGGGCGUAAAGCGCACGUAGGCGGCUUUACAAGUCAGGGGUGAAAGCCCGCGGCUCAACCGCGGAAUUGCCCUUGAGACUGUAUCGCUUGAACACGGGAGAGGUGAGUGGAAUUCCGAGUGUAGAGGUGAAAUUCGUAGAUAUUCGGAAGAACACCAGUGGCGAAGGCGACUUACUGGACACAUAUUGACGCUGAGGUGCGAAAGCGUGGGGAGCAAACAGG
rnacentral:rRNA from 1 species